GCCGGAGUGGCGAAAUGGCGAUACGCGAUGGAUUCAAGAUCCAUUGGGCCGCAAGGUCCGUGAGGGUUCGAGUCCCUCCUCCGGUACCG
rnacentral:tRNA from 1 species